CUACGGGCGGCAGCAGUAAGGAAUAUUGGGCAAUGGACGCAAGUCUGACCCAGCCAUGCCGCGUGAAGGAUGAAUGUCCUAUGGAUUGUAAACUUCUUUUAUGCAGGAAAGAACUCCCGGUCGUGGACCGGGACUGAUGGUACUGUAUGAAUAAGCAUCGGCUAACUCCGUGCCAGCAGCCGCGGUAAUACGGAGGAUGCAAGCGUUAUCCGGAUUCAUUGGGUUUAAAGGGUGCGCAGGCGGAAUGAUAAGUCAGUGGUGAAAUCUCCCAGCUUAACUGGGAAACUGCCAUUGAUACUGUCAUUCUUGAGUACAGUUGAAGUGGGCGGAAUGUGUCAUGUAGCGGUGAAAUGCUUAGAUAUGACACAGAACACCGAUAGCGAAGGCAGCUCACUAAGCUGUAACUGACGCUCAUGCACGAAAGCGUGGGGAUCUAACAGGAUUAGAUACCCCCGUAGUC
rnacentral:rRNA from 1 species